rnacentral:rRNA from 1 species
AUAACUACGGGAAACUGUAGCUAAGACCGCGUAAGCAGUAGUGAUACUGGAAAGUGAGGGGAUCGCAAGACCUUCAGCCAUAAGAUGAGCCCAUGUUCCAUUAGCUAGUUGGCGGGGUAACGGCCCACCAAGGCGAAGAUGGAUAGCUGGUCUGAGAGGACGAUCAGCCACACUGGGACUGAGACACGGCCCAGACUCCUACGGGAGGCAGCAGUGGGGAAUAUUGCGCAAUGGGCGAAAGCCUGACGCAGCAACGCCGCGUGAGUGAUGAAGGCCUUCGGGUUGUAAAGCUCUUUCGGUUGGGAAGAAGGGUGUGUGUGUUAAUACCGCAUGCAUUUGAUGGUACCAAAAGAAGAAGCACCGGCAAACUUCGUGCCAGCAGCCGCGGUAAUACGAAGGGUGCGAGCGUUGUUCGGAAUUACUGGGCGUAAAGGGUUCGUAGGCGGGAAUGCAAGUCAAGUGUGAAAUCCCCGAGCUUAACUUGGGACGUGCAUUUGAGACUGUGUUUCUUGAGUAUCGGAGAGGGUGGUGGAAUUGCUGGUGUAGGAGUGACA